GGACGCGCCACGGGAGUCAAGAUGGCGGAGUGAGGCGCGCCGUGGUGAGCCGGCCUUCGGGCCGGCGGCGCCGCGGGCCCCGCGCUCGGACGCUUCUGCUGGUGCCGAAGAGGAUGAAUAUUUUCCUUGACUUUUGGGUGCUUUUUCAUUGGAUCUCAAAAAAGAAAACAAAAUUCUAAACUCAGGAUUUGGCAAGCAUUUCUGUUUUGUUUCCCGGACUAAAUAUUCCUGCUUCUUUGUCUAGUCGUUUUCCCUACUGAAACAUGAAUAACUCUUGAUACCUUCGCUCAAUGAGUUGAAAUGGAAAAGGCAGUUCCACCUCUCAGAAGUAACAGUCAUUCCAGCUUCUCUAGGGGGAAAAAAAGAAAGCAACAACCAACAGACUUCUCCGGCUCCUAUUUGCUUAAUUGGAAAGAAAUUU